rnacentral:tRNA from 1 species
UGCGUUUUGUGUGGCUUGAUCGCUAUCAUAAUCCGGGUGUCCGGGGUUCGAGUCCCUGAAGCGCCACCA